GGAAGGAUCAUUACCGAGUGCGGGCCCUCUGGGCCCAACCUCCCCACCCGUGUUUAUCGUACCUUGUUGCUUCGGCGGGCCCGCCGCUCUGGCGCCCGCCGAAGACACCAUCGAACGCUGUCUGAAGAUUUGCAGUCUGAGCUUAUUAGCUAAAUCGGUUAAAACUUUCAACAACGGAUCUCUUGGUUCCGGCAUCGAUGAAGAACGCAGCGAAAUGCGAUAAGUAAUGUGAAUUGCAGAAUUCAGUGAAUCAUCGAGUCUUUGAACGCACAUUGCGCCCCCUGGUAUUCCGGGGGGCAUGCCUGUCCGAGCGUCAUUGCUGCCCUCAAGCACGGCUUGUGUGUUGGGCCGCCGUCCCCCCUCUCGGGGGACGGGCCCGAAAGGCAGCGGCGGCACCGCGUCCGGUCCUCGAGCGUAUGGGGCUUCGUCACCCGCUCCGUAGGCCCGGCCGGCGCCUGCCGACGACCAUCAAUCUCUUUCUCAGGUUGACCUCGGAUCAGGUAGGGAUACCCGCUGAACUUAAGCAUAUCAAUAAGCGGAGGAAAAGAAACCAACAGGGAUUGCCCUAGUAACGGCGAGUGAAGCGGCAAGAGCUCAAAUUUGAAAGCUGGCCCCCUCGGGGUCCGCAUUGUAAUUUGCAGAGGAUGCUUCGGGAGCGGCUCCCAUCUAAGUGCCCUGGAACGGGCCGUCAUAGAGGGUGAGAAUCCCGUCUGGGAUGGGGUGUCCGCGCCCGUGUGAAGCUCCUUCGACGAGUCGAGUUGUUUGGGAAUGCAGCUCUAAAUGGGUGGUAAAUUUCAUCUAAAGCUAAAUAUUGGCCGGAGACCGAUAGCGCACAAGUAGAGUGAUCGAAAGAUGAAAAGCACUUUGAAAAGAGAGUUAAAAAGCACGUGAAAUUGUUGAAAGGGAAGCGCUUGCGACCAGACUCGCCCGCGGGGUUCAGCCGGCAUUCGUGCCGGUGUACUUCCCCGUGGGCGGGCCAGCGUCGGUUUGGGUGGCCGGUCAAAGGCUCCCGGAAUGUAACGCCUCUCGGGGCGUCUUAUAGCCGGGGGUGCAAUGCGGCCUGUCUGGACCGAGGAACGCGCUUCGGCACGGACGCUGGCAUAAUGGUCGUAAGCGACCCGUCUUGAAACACGGACCAAGGAGUCUAACAUCUACGCGAGUGUUCGGGUGUCAAACCCGUGCGCGCAGUGAAAGCGAACGGAGGUGGGAACCCUUUGGGUGCACCAUCGACCGAUCCUGAUGUCUUCGGAUGGAUUUGAGUAAGAGCGUAGCUGUUGGGACCCGAAAGAUGGUGAACUAUGCCUGAAUAGGGCGAAGCCAGAGGAAACUCUGGUGGAGGCUCGCAGCGGUUCUGACGUGCAAAUCGAUCGUCAAAUUUGGGUAUAGGGGCGAAAGACUAAUCGAACCAUCUGGUAGCUGGUUCCUGC
rnacentral:misc_RNA from 1 species